AUUGAACGCUGGCGGCAGGCCUAACACAUGCAAGUCGAGCGAGCGGAGGACGGGUGAGUAAUGCCUGGGAAUUGCCAAGUCGAGGGGGAUAACAGUUGGAAACGACUGCUAAUACCGAAUACGAUGGUAUUGCCCCGGGGGGAUUGGCUAGUUGGUGGGGUAAUGGCGCACCAAGGCGACGGUCCCUCGCGGGUCUGAGGGGAUUGUCAGCCACACUGGAACUGAGCCACGGUCCAGACUCCUACGGGAGGCAGCAGUGUGUAAUAUUGCACAAUGGGGGAAACCCUGAUGCAGCCAUGCCGCGUGUGUGAAGAAGGCCGUCGGGUUGUAAAGCACUUUCAGCGAGGAGGCGUUACUCGCAGAAGAAGCACCGGCUAACUCCGUGCCAGCCGCCGCGGUAAUAC
rnacentral:rRNA from 1 species